GGAUCAUUACACAAAUAUGAAGGCGGGCUGGAACCUCUCGGGGUUACAGCCUUGCUGAAUUAUUCACCCUUGUCUUUUGCGUACUUCUUGUUUCCUUGGUGGGUUCGCCCACCACUAGGACAAACAUAAACCUUUUGUAAUUGCAAUCAGCGUCAGUAACAAAUUAAUAAUUACAACUUUCAACAACGGAUCUCUUGGUUCUGGCAUCGAUGAAGAACGCAGCGAAAUGCGAUAAGUAGUGUGAAUUGCAGAAUUCAGUGAAUCAUCGAAUCUUUGAACGCACAUUGCGCCCUUUGGUAUUCCAAAGGGCAUGCCUGUUCGAGCGUCAUUUGUACCCUCAAGCUUUGCUUGGUGUUGGGCGUCUUGUCUCUAGCUUUGCUGGAGACUCGCCUUAAAGUAAUUGGCAGCCGGCCUACUGGUUUCGGAGCGCAGCACAAGUCGCACUCUCUAUCAGCAAAGGUCUAGCAUCCAUUAAGCCUUUUUUUCAACUUUUGACCUCGGAUCAGGUAGGGAUACCCGCUGAACUUAAGCAUAUCAAUAAGCGGAGGAAAAGAAACCAACAGGGAUUGCCCUAGUAACGGCGAGUGAAGCGGCAACAGCUCAAAUUUGAAAUCUGGCUCUUUUAGAGUCCGAGUUGUAAUUUGCAGAGGGCGCUUUGGCUUUGGCAGCGGUCCAAGUUCCUUGGAACAGGACGUCACAGAGGGUGAGAAUCCCGUACGUGGUCGCUGGCUAUUGCCGUGUAAAGCCCCUUCGACGAGUCGAGUUGUUUGGGAAUGCAGCUCUAAAUGGGAGGUACAUUUCUUCUAAAGCUAAAUAUUGGCCAGAGACCGAUAGCGCACAAGUAGAGUGAUCGAAAGAUGAAAAGCACUUUGGAAAGAGAGUCAAACAGCACGUGAAAUUGUUGAAAGGGAAGCGCUUGCAGCCAGACUUGCUUACAGUUGCUCAUCCGGGUUUCUACCCGGUGCACUCUUCUGUAGGCAGGCCAGCAUCAGUUUGGGCGGUAGGAUAAAGGUCUCUGUCACGUACCUCCUUUCGGGGAGGCCUUAUAGGGGAGACGACAUACUACCAGCCUGGACUGA
rnacentral:rRNA from 1 species